CUCUCCCCAGCCAAUCCCUGCAUACCUCCCCGCUGGAAUCCUCCUUCGGGCGGGGCGCGGAUCCUGCCUACAAAUCCCAUGCGGCCAGUCUUCCGUCCGCGCCCAGGGAGCCUGUCUUCGUGGCCUCACUGAAUUCUGGGAAACGUAGUAAGGCUGGGGCCGGGGCCUCCUUCCAGCCCUCUCUUCCCUACGGGCUUUUCUGCCCACUUCCUUUUCUCCUGGUGACCCCACCCCUGCCUCCGCUCGGACCCCGCCUUGGAACUGGGUGAGAGUCUCUUCACCACUAGUAUCAGUAUACUGGAGACAUUCAAUUGUUGACUGCCUGGUGAUUGUUUGCCAGUAAUUAGAACUGAGAGACACUCGAAGAGUCUGGACUGUCUUCUGAGCAGAGAAUAAAAAGUAGCUAUCAUCUGCCCACCACAGACAUGAAAAAACAAGAAAGAAAGUUUGCAGAGAGGAGAGAAUGAAACAGGAAUAUAGAGAGAAGCAGAGAAAGAAAUGGAUCUUCCCAUCUCGUCAUGAGCUUCCACUUCCAGGAGGAAUCCAUUUUUCUGUCAAUGUAUCCCAGGUGGCUAACUUUCAUUAUGCUCAGGUCGAUGAUUCAUGAAUGGUAGUUUUCCUUCUAAACGAGCGUUGCCAUGAUGGGUGAGUAAUGGUACGUUUGCUAUAUUCCAAAGACUGAGGGAAUAAAACAGAUUCCACCCACAUGAUAAUAGGGUUAAUUUGACUUGACAUAUAUAGAUUGAAGGUUAUUUAUUUGUUGGCUUGAUUUCCAUAGCCUAGUCUUUUUUGGCUAAGGAGGUAUCUUCUAGUCCCAAGUUAUUUCUAUUCAUGCAUCCAUUCAAACAAACUUGCCUUUGUCUCCAGGUUCUGUUUCUUAUGAUAAAUUUUUAGAAACCCCAGGCUGAUCAAGAAACUCUCAAAAUAGGAAGUGAACCAACAACAUUUAUACUUAUAGCUCUUUAUGUGCUUGAGGCAACAUUCAGGAAUAUUCUUUCCCUACCCUUGUUCUCUCAAACUCUACCUCUUUACCUUAAUCUACCUCUCUCCUCACCCUCUGUAUUUUUCUCCUCAAAGUUAUGCAUAGUGCUUCCGUGCCAUUUUCACAGCCCUAUGCGCUAGAAAACCUGCCUACACGUUUGCUUUUAAAUGAGGUAGUACACUUUGCCAGCUUCACUAUUUUCUUUCUUGUGCUAUUAUUCCUUUUUUACCCAAAAAUUUGGCCCCAUUUUUUAUGAAAUCAGUAGUUAUGAUUUGACACUUAGAGAGAUACAAGCAAUUAAGUAAUGUAUUCUUUUGAAGUUCUUCAAAGAUGACAUUCAAUAAAAUCCCUAGCUAUGAUAUUUAUCCCAAACUCCAGAACCGCAUAUCCAAUUACUGUCUUCUUCAUUUUCUAUCCCACAGACUGGUCAAAUUUAACAAAUGAAACAUGUAUCCACUCUACUACCCCACUCUUACCUGUUUCUUCUUUGGCAUUAUGCAUCAUGGUUAAUGGCUCUACUAUCCAUCUCAAUAUGCAAACCAGAAACCUUACCUCAUUCAGCAUGCUAAACCAUUUCACAUCUAAAAUAUGUCUACACCCUGUCCUUUUCCUCUCCUUCCCACUGAUAUUACCAAGUAUUACUUAGCCUCUUAGUUCACUGUCCCACCUCUAGUUAUGCCCUGCUCUAAGCUAACAGAAUGAUCUUCCUUAUCCCAUCCCUCAUCCCAUUACCAUCUCCAUGAAGACUUUCCAGCCCCCACUUUCAUCCCUGCAGAAUGGAUUGCCUUAUCUAGUGUGGCCCCUAGUGCUCUGGAGGGAUUUCCAUUAUGGGGAAGUAACAUAGCCCUUAGUGGUUACAAGGUACAUUUUCUGAAGACAGAACAUUAGAAUUUGAAUCCUGGCUUUACCACUUACCAGCUGCAAGUUACCAAUUCUCUGUUCCUCAGUUUCCUCUUCUAUAAAAUAGCACUAAUCAAUAGUACUUCUUGGGGUCGAUGGGAGAAUCAAGUAAGAUGAUACAUGCCGGCACUUAGCGCAUGCCUGGCACAUGGUAUUGAUAUACACCCAAUAAGUUAUCAUCAUCAUCGUUAUUAUAGAAAAUCUACAACUUUCACUGCACUAACUUGUUUAUAUUUUUCUUUACUAGGCUUUGAGUUCCUUGUACCUAAUUCAUCUUUGUAACCCAGCACCUAGCACUGGCCUGAAAAGUAGGAGACACUCCAUACAUAUUUUUUGAUUGAAUCAUCAGGUUACUGCUUGGCUCAUAACUCCUCACUGGCUCCUGAUUGCCUGUGGAAUAAGAGUCAUACUUUUUCAGCUUGGGCAACAUAGUGAGAUUCCAUCUCUACAAAAACAUUACAAAAUUAGCUGGGCAUUAGCUGGGUCACACACCUGUUGUCCCAACUACUUGGGAGGCUGUGGUGAGAGGAUUGUUUCGGCUCUAGAGGUUGAGAGAGAGAGACCCUGUCUCAAAACAAAACAAAACAAAACACUGUACUCUUUAGCCUGAUUUAUGCACCUAUUCAGCUUAAUCUUCUCCUAUACUCUAAGCAAGAUCACUUGCAGUUGCCUGGACAUUUCCUUCAAUCAGGAAUGUCUUUCCAAGCCCUUUCCCCAAACUUGGUGAACAUUUUUUUAUAUAUAAGACCUUAAUCAAGUAUCUUUUCCUUUAAAAUCAUUCCUGACCCUUUUAUAGGUGGCCAGCAAGUCUAGAAACAUAGACACAUACAUAAUAAAUGGUCUGUUGGUUUUAUACUAUAAUACACAAUGAAAUAAUAUAUUUGCAUUUCCUGAUUUCAUGGCCACCCUGUAGCUAGAACUGAUCUCUCCUCCUCCUUCACGCCAUUAGCCCCUUUUAUGAAACACUGAUUAGCUGGGACAGAAUAUAGCACACAGAGGUUCUGCUUUAUUCAUCUUUGUAUCUCAAUCACCCAGCCCCAUGAUUGGCACAGACAGGCACUCAACAAAUAUUUGUUGAAUUAAUAAAAUGUAAGUAAAUAUUUAUGGAUCAUCGUUGUAUAGGCCAAGAAAAACUGCCACCCAUUUAAUCAUUGAUAGUGAAUAUCCCUAAUCCCCCUACAUUCAUUUUCAUCACUGCUGCUCUGGGUAUUCAAUGAAGCAAAAUACUUGGCAUGUGCCUUGGUGACCUCAUUUUGCAUUUGUUGCAUUCAGCUUUCAUUCAUGGUUAAAACAUGUUUCUUGAACAAAUAUUUUCAUUUUUAAAAAAGGAAAA